rnacentral:rRNA from 1 species
AACGAACGCUGGCGGCAGGCUUAACACAUGCAAGUCGAACGCCCCGCAAGGGGAGUGGCAGACGGGUGAGUAACACGUGGGAACGUACCCUUUACUACGGAAUAACGCAGGGAAACUUGUGCUAAUACCGUAUGUGCCCUUUGGGGGAAAGAUUUAUCGGUAAAGGAUCGGCCCGCGUUGGAUUAGCUAGUUGGUGGGGUAAAGGCCUACCAAGGCGACGAUCCAUAGCUGGUCUGAGAGGAUGAUCAGCCACAUUGGGACUGAGACACGGCCCAAACUCCUACGGGAGGCAGCAGUGGGGAAUAUUGGACAAUGGGCGCAAGCCUGAUCCAGCCAUGCCGCGUGAGUGAUGAAGGCCUUAGGGUUGUAAAGCUCUUUCACCGGAGAAGAUAAUGACGGUAUCCGGAGAAGAAGCCCCGGCUAACUUCGUGCCAGCAGCCGCAGUAACAC